UACGGAGGAUCCAAGCGUUAUCCGGAUUCAUUGGGUUUAAAGGGUGCGUAGGCGGCUAAUUAAGUCAGUGGUGAAAUCCCGGGGCUCAACUCCGGAACUGCCAUUGAUACUGGUUAGCUUGGAUUCAGUUGAGGUGGGCGGAAUGUAGCAUGUAGCGGUGAAAUGCAUAGAUAUGCUACAGAACACCAAUUGCGAAGGCAGCUCACUAAACUGACAUUGACGCUGAGGUACGAAAGCAUGGGGAGCAAACAGG
rnacentral:misc_RNA from 1 species